UACGGGGGGAGCAAGCGUUGUUCGGAUUUACUGGGCGUAAAGGGCGCGUAGGCGGCGCAACAAGUCACUUGUGAAAUCUCCGGGCUUAACCCGGAGCGGCCAAGUGAUACUGUCGUGCUAGAGUGCGGAAGGGGCUACUGGAAUUCUCGGUGUAGCGGUGAAAUGCGUAGAUAUCGAGAGGAACACCUGCGGCGAAGGCGGGUUGCUGGGCUGACACUGACGCUGAGGCGCGAAAGCCAGGGGAGCAAACGGG
rnacentral:rRNA from 1 species